rnacentral:rRNA from 1 species
UACGGAGGGAGCUAGCGUUGUUCGGAAUUACUGGGCGUAAAGCGCACGUAGGCGGCGAUUCAAGUCAGAGGUGAAAGCCCGGGGCUCAACCCCGGAACUGCCUUUGAAACUAGAUUGCUAGAAUCCUGGAGAGGUGAGUGGAAUUCCGAGUGUAGAGGUGAAAUUCGUAGAUAUUCGGAAGAACACCAGUGGCGAAGGCGACUCACUGGACAGGUAUUGACGCUGAGGUGCGAAAGCGUGGGGAGCGAACAGG